GUGGGGAAUCUUCCACAAUGGACGAAAGUCUGAUGGAGCAACGCCGCGUGAAUGAAGAAGGCCUUCGGGUCGUAAAGUUCUGUCUUUAGGGACGAAUGGGUAUGCGCAAAUAGUGUAUGCUUUGACGGUACCUUAGGAGGAAGCUCCGGCUAACUACGUGCCAGCAGCCGUGGUAAUACGUAGGGAGCAAGCGUUGUCCGGAAUUACUGGGCGUAAAGGGCGCGUAGGCGGGAAUGCAAGUCAGAUGUGAAAACUCCGGGCUCAACUUGGAGAUUGCAUUUGAAACUGUGUUUCUUGAGGGCAGGAGAGGAAAGUGGAAUUCCUAGUGUAGCGGUGAAAUGCGUAGAUAUUAGGAGGAACACCAGUGGCGAAGGCGACUUUCUGGACUGUACCUGACGCUGAGGCGCGAAAGCGUGGGUAGCAAACGGGAUUAGAUACCCGAGUAGUCC
rnacentral:rRNA from 1 species